CCACCCCCUACGGACCUUCCAUUGGUGAAUCAUAUCGUCCGUAGCGUUGUUAACGAUCCAGUUAGACGUGAAUUCAAGGUUACUGCUCAGAUGAAAGCACCAUCGAAAUGGGCGGACCCGAUAAGUUUGUAUUCAGACAGGUGCACAUCAGACAGGGUGGUUGGAGACGCAGAGAGUAGGAUCAUCAGCGAGACACCUCAACCAAGACCCAUAUCAAAACGUGCGUACAAAGUGCGUGUAUGGGGAGGCAUUUCCAAAAGAAGGGCAACGACGCUAGCCAUUUUCACGGGCAUCAUGGAUGCAAAGACCCACGUGCAAAUCCUGAAGGAAAAUUUGCUACCAUUUUUGAAAAAACAAUUCCCUCUUUAUCAAAACAACGACCUAAGCAUACUAACAAACUGACAAAAGAAUUUAUUGUAUCACACAACAUUAACUGGCCCCCCUCCCCCCCCAAAAUAAAGUCCUCAUUAAAAACCCCUAGAAAACCUGUGGUCAAAACUUGAAUAUCAUUUGCGUAAAUAGGCCUACGUCAGACCAUCCAUUAAAACGAAUUAGUAAAAAGACAUUCACCAGUUUUGGAAAACGGUGGACAUCGCAAAAUGCAUUCAAUACAUUGACCACAUACACAAAGUAUACCCACGUGUAAUUUAAGUUAACGGCAACGUCUCUGCUUAUUUUAAUAUUAAAUUAUGGACUAAGUAGCAUUAUAAAAUGUUCAGUUCUGGAUGACAGUCCAGGUCUACUCUUUUAUUCUUCCAAUCCCUCCAUUCAUUUCGACACAUUCAACAAGCAAAUUUCGCCGUUAAGAUUCAACCAGAUACAAGGGACGUCGUCUCAGGAUUGGAGCAGCCUUUUUAGCAUUGCAUUCGGCGCAUCGGACGAUUGAACUGGCAGGCCCGUAGCCAACAAUUUCAG